GAUGAACGCUAGCUACAGGCUUAACACAUGCAAGUCGAGGGGAAACGAUAGAGAAAGCUUGCUUUUUCUAGGCGUCGACCGGCGCACGGGUGAGUAACGCGUAUCCAACCUGCCCACCACUUGGGGAUAACCUUGCGAAAGUAAGACUAAUACCCAAUGAUAUCUCAAGAAGACAUCUGAAUGAGAUUAAAGAUUUAUCGGUGAUGGAUGGGGAUGCGUCUGAUUAGCUUGUUGGCGGGGUAACGGCCCACCAAGGCGACGAUCAGUAGGGGUUCUGAGAGGAAGGUCCCCCACAUUGGAACUGAGACACGGUCCAAACUCCUACGGGAGGCAGCAGCGAGGAAUAUUGGUCAAUGGGCGGAAGCCUGAACCAGCCAAGUAGCGUGCAGGAAGACGGCCCUCCGGGUUGUAAACUGCUUUUAGUUGGGAAUAAAACGGGGCUCGUGAGCCCCCUUGCAUGUACCAUCAGAAAAAGGACCGGCUAAUUCCGUGCCAGCCGCCGCCGUAA
rnacentral:rRNA from 1 species